CAUUGAAACACCAGUUCCCCUUUGAUCACCGAAGUUAAGCAAUAUUGAGCCUGGUCAGUGCCUGGAUGGCUGCCGGCUUGGGGAUACCAGGCGUUGUAA